UUCUCUUUUCUCCAAAGGUUUCUUUAAUUUUCCUGUAGGCAGUAUCUGUCUUACCCCUGGUGAGAUAAGCCUCUACAUCCCUACAUAAAAUUACGUUUUUCUUAGCGUUGUGAACAUGUUGAAGUUGAUUUGCUACAAAGAAAUAGGGUUUGCUGUGAAAUAAGGUAAUCGGCUCACAAAUAACAAUGUAUUUAGAUUUAUUAAAAGUGGCAACAUGAAAAAGAAUGCUCAUAGAAUCAUACCGGUGUCGGAGCAGUGCAAGCAGGUCGGUCUAGCCUGCGAGUUGCCUCCAGCUGCGCACGUGUUUAUCUGACCAGCGUUACUGGCGUGAUGAUGCAUAGCAUUUGCACCCGUGGUCCAGCGAAGGUCUAGUUUCCGAGCGACUCGCGAUCGCAAGUGCAGCUAAAAGGUUCUCAGUGUUACACUGACGUCACAGGUCUAUGUAAAUAAGAGCCAAGUCUCCCUCUGAACACGCUUUAGAAAUCUUUUGCGUAUGCUUCCAAGAAUAGCACAGGAUGCAUUGUUCCUAGCGAUCCUAAUGGUACAGCCCGUCCCACAUGCGAGACGCCUCUGACCGCACAUUCGUGUUCACCAGCCACUGCGUCUACCUGGCAGUCCAGCGCAGGCCUAAUUGACAAGUGAGAUAUGUCUGCAUAGCGAUUCACCUGUGCAGCAGCAGCUAAAAGGUUGUCAGUGUUACAGUGAUGUCUCAUGUCAGUAUAACUAACAGCCAAGACGCCCUCUGAAUGCACUAUAGAAAUCUUCUGCAGUGCUUUCAGAAACUGUUAACGAAAAUAUUCCAGAAUAACACCAAAUCCAUUCUUCCUGAUGCUCCUAAUGGCAGAGCCCGUCCAUCACGAUAUCAACCCCUCAUAGAAACAAUAAAGUUUCGCAGAAAUAGUUAACGGUCGCUUUUGUUGCCCUAACAGGACCUGCUUACGAAAAUAGCUCAGAAUAACACCGAUGGCUAUCGUAAGUGCAACUUGUUCGUCUAAAGUAUAGCGACACAGCCCACCAUAAUGGUGAGGGGGGUACACAUGUGAUGACAUGAUGCAGACUACACACAUCCUCAAUACCCCCAAUUUCUUAAAAGUGGCGACAUGAAAAAGAAUGCAUAUAGAAUCAUACUGGUGUAAAUGAUGUAAUGUGAUGUCACGCAACUGAAUGCGAAACAGUCUGUCAUACAAUAAAUAAAGUAUUUCAUUUGUGUAUAGAGGUGGAAUGGGACCUAAAAUUGAAUCUUGGGAGACCCCUUGUGAAAUUGUUUCCUAUUUUGAAGCUUAAUUUCCUGUCUGUGACGUUAAACUAAUCUUUCUCUUCCAUUGGUCAAGUAGGACCUGAACCAUUAUAAUACAAUGCCACCUAAUUCAUGCUGUCCAGUUUAGAGUAUAUCGAACGAUAAUUCACUCCAUGAAAGACCUUUGAUGAGCUACACAAAGUUACUGUGGCAUGCGGAGAGUUUUCUAGAGAUGAGAUAAUUUUUUUUUUCUCAAAUUUCAUGUUCUUUUGAUUUUUUGAAACUGUAACUGACUUUUUGAACUUUCAUUAAAUUUUUGUAUGAUUUUUGAAUUUAGAUUGCGACAGCCUUUUCAAAUACGUUAGACUGUGCUGGAAGAGGAGAGAUUGGACAAUAGUGUCACUUAUGUUCUUUUGUUAUGUUCUUUUGCUCUUUUCUGGAAUAGUGGUUUAAAUACUGCGGGUUUCAGAACAUCUGGAAAACAACUUUAUAUUGUGGAUACUGGCUGCACCAUCAUUUUACCAACUGCUUUUCAAUAAUUUGUUAAUUGAGAGACUGCAGCUCCAAAGGUCUCAGAUUUGAUCUGCGAACAGCUCUAGGAUUUUUGUCACUUAUCACUUCUUUCACAUCUGGCAACGUUUGUUAAUGUGAGAAAAGUUAAGUGGCACCAUUAUUUGGAGUCCACGUUAAACUGUACCCCUCUAUAAUCGGCUGGUUAAGUCAGUUCAAAGAUCGAAGGAUACCAUUGGUUAAGGAGCGUUCGUCAAACGAUUGUCAAUUACAUGGUUAAAUGUGGUUAACGGAAAUCUAAAAUGUACCGAAAAGUGCUAAAGCGCUGUUUACUAACCUCGGCUGGAACAAACAAGCUCAUUUACUAUACCGGUCUGACUCAGUUCAUUACAUUAAGCUGGCACUGCAAACCUAGUGAAAAAGGAUGAGGUAACUUACUCAACCUAAGAAUGUCGCCAUCUCCAGAGAUGGAGAGGCACCAAACAAAAUCAAACUGAAUGACGGAUGAGUCUUCCAAAAUGGAAUCCAUGGUCGCUACUCUUCCAGUUACUUUUGAGAGGUUUAAUAUGCGGUUGAAUUCUCUCUCCGAUUACAACACUGAUCAGUUGGUGAAGAGUCUGUAUUAUAUUCCAAGUACAGAGUAUUGCAGAAAGGAUGAUAUCGCUAUUAUCAAAGGAAUCAUGUGGUGGUAUCAAUGUUAUAGUGUAAAUUGGCGAUGUAUUGUGAGGUACAAGUUGGUAUCAGUGUCAUAGUGUAAACUGAGGAUGUAUUGUGAGGUAAAAUUCAAGAAAGAUUGAAAGAAGCCGUGAGAUAGACUGACAUAAAUAUCAAAGGCAGUUCAGUACAACACAUUGUAUCUCAGCAUUUCCGUCUUCGGUGGCAGCAGUGGGAUUUACUCCAGGGUAGCUCGACCAAUGGGGAUGCACUCGACCUCCCUCUCCACCAUCCAUCACCCUGUCUCUCGUCAACAGCCAUCACUAGUCAGUCUGUGAUCUGAGGUUACCAUGAGCUCCAUAAUUUGCUGUAGUCAGCUUCGAUGAAGAUGUAACACCCAUCCACACAGUUGUGUGGAUGGGUAUUGUUGAAGAAGAAGAAGAACAAGAAGAAGAAGAAGAAGCAAUAUCUACUGUGGAGUUCAUUGGAGGGGAGCUCUUCUAAUCAUCAGGGGAAGAAGAAGAAGAAGAAGAAGAACUGGAGGUGGAACUGGUUGAUGAAUCUAUACCAGACAGCCCAGCGUCGCCGUCACCGCCUCCACCACCGCAGAAACCACCACCACCACCACCACCAAGGUGGCGCAUGCUCCCUGAGGAGUAUGUAGAUGAAGGCAAUGAUGUUGAUGUUAUAUUCUCAUACAAAAUAAUAAAUAUCGAUGAAAAGGA